rnacentral:misc_RNA from 1 species
AGGCAAGGCCAACACAGAGUUUGCUUUGUAAGAGCAAUUACUACCUCUUUUAUAAUGAUAAGUUUAUCUUUCCAUUGCAUAGUUUGCCUUUACUACGCGUCUUGUACAAUUAUUGUGAGAACCGCUGUAUAAGUGAUAUCAAAUUUGUGUCUCCGUAAGUUAAAAUUUUAAAAUUAUGGAUAUUAAGGUAUGAUAAAUUAUUUACAACCGUUAAGUGUUUAAUUAAAACAUGUGGGGUUUACUUCCAUUUUACUUUUGUUUAUCAUUAAUGGAAGUGCAAAGUGUUUUCAAACUAGAGCCAAUUCAUGUUAUGCCUAGACCUUCUGGCAGUAAUCACUUGGGAACACCUUUAUUCUUGACACCUCUGUUACAAAAAGGACACCAUGCAACAGCUCAGGAUCUGUCCAAAGUGGAACCGAAUAUUGGGAACAUACUGAGUUACUCAGGAUUUUUCACUGUCAACAAAAAUUGCGACUCACAUUUGUUCUUUUGGUUCUUUCCUGCUCAAAAAGUCAACUGGAAAGAUGCACCACUUCUGCUAUGGUUGGAUGGAGGGCCAGGGAGUACAUCUCUGCACGGUGUCUUCGAUAGGCAAGGUCCAUUUAAAUCUUACAAGGAAGGCCUCAGGAAGCGUACAUACUCUUGGAAUAUCAAAAACAAUUACCUGAUCAUUGAUCAACCUGUUGGAACAGGCUACAGUUUCACAGGAAAACACUGCUAUCCUGAAAAUGAAACAGCAGUCGGUGAAGAUCUUUACCAAGCUGUUUUGCAGUUCCACCAGUUGUUUCCAAACUUCCAGAAGGGGAAGUUUUUCAUUUCUGGGUCAUCAUACGCCGGUCACUAUAUUCCAGCCCUAGGACAUAUGAUUCUGAAGUACAAUCCAUCUGCAAAGGUAAAGAUCAACUUAACCUCAAUACUAAUAGGAAACGGUUGGUUCGAUCCAGUAACUCAAGUAGAAUACAGUGACUACCUUUAUCAGCACGGUUUCAUAGAUGACUCAGUAAGGAAUAUUUAUGAAGAAUAUCAAAAUAAUUUUAAACGUCAAGUUGCAGCAAAAAACUUUAUAGGUGCCGGUUACACCAUCAGCUCAAUAAAUACAACUUUGCGUAGAGAAAACGUUGGUUUCCAAGUGAACUAUGAAAAUUACUUAUACUUCCCAAAUAAUGCAAGGAGAAAGCAGAAUUGGCAUGAAUUUAUCCAAUCAUCUGAAGUUCGAAAGGCAUUAAAAGUUGGAGACUUGCCAUUUCAGUCAGGUGACAAAGUUUUUGAGAGUCUGUCGUUAGAUCUUGUACAAUCAGUGAAACCCUGGGUGGAAGAACUGCUGGAAGUGUACCCGAUAGUUUUCUACAACGGUCAGCUGGACGUUAUCUGUGCAUAUCCGAUGAUGAUCAAAUUCCUUCGCUCUCUGGACUGGAGUGGGCAAUCUCAGUACCUGAAUGCUACCAGGACAAAGUGGUGUGUGGGGGAGGAGUUGGCCGGUUACUACAAGGGGGUACACAACAUGUACGACGUGUUGGUGCGUGAUGCAGGCCACAAUGUCCCUCUUGAGCAGCCAUUCUGGGGCUACCUCCUGGUCAACUCUAUCACCUCAGGGUCAUCGGGCAACCCCCUGCACGCUCUCACACCUUGUAACUCGACCAAUUGAAACAGAGAUAAUCAUAAAUAAUCUUAGAGUUGGACAGUCAACAAGAUAACCUGCACAGGAAGCUCUAUUCUGUGAACUGAUUGCCACUUAGGUGGAAAUGUUCAAAGCGGACGUCAUUUGAUAAUGAACUUGCCGGUUACUACAAGGGGGUGCACAAUCUGUACGACGUGUUGGUGCGUGAUGCAGGUCACAUGGUACCAGCAGACCAACCUCUCUGGGCCUAUACCCUUAUGAACUCUAUCACUUCGGGAACACCAGAUAACCCUCUGCAUGCCCUUACACCUUGCUAAACACUACUAUCAGUCUUAUUGUCACUUAAUUAAAUAAUGAUACUAUACGUC